ACUCCCUCCGUCCCGCUAAAGUUGGAAACAUUCGUUUCGGCACGGAGAUUAAGAAAUUGAGUGUUAUAUAUUUUAAUAGAGUGUGGCCUACAAUUGUUGACCAAAUUAGUGAGUAAUUGUUGACUCAAUUAAAGUAAUUUUGGCAUUUUUAGAAAGUGACCUACAAUUGUUGACCAAAUUAGUGAGUAAUUGUUGACUUAAUUAAAGUAAACUUUUGUCAUUUUUAGAAAGUGACCAACUUUAGUGGGACACCCAAAAUAGAAAUGUAGCCAACUUUAAUGGGACGGAGGGAGUAACACAUUUUCAUCAUUCUCAAUACACUCAACUACCUUUUAUCCACUCUCAAUACAUUCAACAAUAUUUUUUCUUAAAACCCAUGCCACUCCCUCCUAGGAAGUUCUUUCAUGGACGGAGGAAGUAUCUCUUACUGGUGCGCCGUCAUCUUCUUCAGUUAACACUACAAAAAAAAAAUCAAAAUUACCGGCGGCUUGUUGCCGCCGCUAAAUAUAGGGCGGCCGCCGGUAUGGAGAUUAACGGCGGGAUCGCCGCCGGUAAAUGCCGCCGGUGAAUGUCGGCGAGAUCGCCGGACUACGGAAAAAAUAGCGGUGGCACUUGCCGCUGGUGAUUAGUGGCAGCACCACCGCCGCCGGUAAUGUCCAUCGGAUGGCGGUGACGACCCUUGCCGGAGGGUACCGUCAGCUUUUUGCCGCCAGUAAUUUUUUAAAAAUUUAUUUUUUAUAUUACUCCAUCCGUCCCAAUAAUGAAUACACACUUCAUUUGAGCAUGGAGGUUAAGGUGAGGUAGAUUAGAGAAUAAAGUAGGGUGCCCCACCUUCUUAGUGUAUUUGAUUAAUAAAUGGUUAAUGAUUGUUUUUACUGUAUUUUAAGUGUCUGCCACCACCCACCACUGCCGACCAUCACUGCCGAACACCACCGCCGACAACACCGCCAACCACCAUUAUCUGUGAACUCACACAAGCAAAUUGCAUAAUCAAACAAAAAAUUCCAAGUGCAUUCCAAUUCAGAUUUAAAAAUUCAAAUUCCAAGUGUAUUACACGAAAAUCAGAAAAGGCAACACAAUGAAAUUGAAGCCAAAAAAUAAAAAGUUGAACCCGAAAUCGCCGCUAUCUUUCAUGGCAGAAUCAUCGCCGGCCACCACCGCCAACGUCGUCGGCGAGCUUAAGCAACGGUGCUUCUCUGAUUUUCUCACCACGAGCUUGGCAGAAUAGUGGAAAAUGAUUCUUUUUCAUGACCCACAAACACCAAAUCCAAACAAGAGAGAGAGAGAGAGAGGGCGAUCGCCCACCACCGCCUUUCUUCCCCGGCGAGCAAUCGUGGUUGUCCCCCACCCGCUUUCCGCCUCAGCACCUUCACUUCAAACCCUAGCCCCCAGAUCCGCCGCCUUGCAAAGCCCGACCACUAGAACUAGAUCCGCCGAAGAAGAGAGAUGAUGGGUGGCGGCUGUUCGGCCAGAGAAGGUGGUGAAAAGGGAGGAAGCGGCGGCGGCAGAAAUAGAGGUCUAGAGCGAGAGAGAUUAAGGAGAACCGAGAGGGAAAGAGAGAGGGGUCGGACAAGGGCGAUCGCGGCGCGGCGCGGCGUGGCGUCGGCGCCGGCGACCGGAGAAGGCAAAGAGACAGAGAGAGUGGCGUGAGGGAGGCGGAGAGGCCGAGAGAGAGAGUAGAAAAUAGAUGUAGGGUUUUUUUUUGUUUCUUAUUUAUACCUUAAUUAAGCUACAAUUAAUUAGUGUAUCUUAAGUCUUAAUUAUUUUCUUAUUUGAAAGUGUGUCUUUAUUAUUGGGACAACCGAAUAAGAAAAGUGUGUCUUCAUUAGUGGGACGGAGGGAGUAUUAUUUUAUUUAUUUAUUUAUUUAUUCCACACAAGUAUUUUCGUAUUUAUACAGUAUUGCAUACAUUAGACGAACUUCCCAGUCGGUCACCCAUCUUCGUUGUGUACUAAGUCAAGCACGCUUAACCUUGAAGUUCUGUUCGAUUAAUCUCCAGUACAUAACACUCGUAUUAUUGAUAUAUCUAGUACCUAUUAAUUCAUUUAAAGUCUAUUUCAAUAUACAAUAUCAUAUAUAUUCAUAAUCUUAGAAUAAGUCGAGAUGAUAGCCAAGAAAUGUUGUUAAUUAUGGAUCAGACUCGUUUCCGUCCUUAUUUUUAUGUCGGAAAAAUAUUUAUUCAUUAAUUUAUUAUUAUUAUUUAUUUUAUAUCAAUCUAAUUUAUACACCAUAAGUAGCUAUUCUACUUAAGAUUCUUGAUUCCAAACUAGAUUAGUUGAAUUCUUACUAGUAAUCUUAGAUUAUUGAUAAGUGAUGAGUGAAUCACUAAUCAAAUGAACAUUCUUAAUUUAUAAUUAUAAUAUUGUUACUAAGAAUCUUGAAUUCUUACUAGGAAUCUUAGAUUAGUGAUGAGUGAAUCACUAAUCAAAUUAACAUUCUUAAGUUAUAAUUAUAAGAUUGUUACUAAGAAUCUUAAAUUCUUAUUAGGAAUCUUAGAUUAGUGAUGAGUGAUGAGUGAAUCACUAAUCAAAUUAACAUUCUUAAGUUAUAAUUAUAAGAUUGUUACUAAAGAAUCUUGAAUUCUUACUAGGAAUCUCAGAUUAGUGAUGAGUGAAUAACUAAUCAAAUUAAUAUUUUAAGUUAUAAUUAUAAGAUUGUUACUAAGAAUCUUGAAUUCUUAUUAGGAAUCUUAGAUUAGUGAUGAGUGAUGAGUGAAUCACAAAUCAAAUUAACAUUCUUAAGUUAUAAUUAUAAGAUUGUUACUAAGAAUAUUGAAUUCUUACUAGGAAUCUUAGAUUAGCGAUGAGUGAUGAGUGAAUCACUAAUCAAAUAUGUCAAAGUAAUUUAUAUAAUUAUUUAGUAUAGAAAAAUAACGAUUUAAAUUAAAAUACUUACCCAUCAACCGUCCUCUGAAAGAGGAUCCUCCCGUCGCGCCUAGUGCAGUCGGACCUAAUCUCAGCCACUGAUCGACCUCUGGGCCUUCUAGACCCAGAGGCAGUAGCGGUCUGUGGAGUGGAACCCUCUGAAGUUGCAGAAAUGUACGGCCCAGAGCCUGAGGAGGACUGUCGCUCCUGCUCAGGCCCAGAAGACCGACUACCCCACCCAAAAAAACUUCUACGGGUAGACAUUGUACAUGUUUCAAAUUGAUUCAGAUAAGCAUAGACACAAUUAGUUUACAAUUAUCAAAUAAAAUAACAAAUAUAUAUAUAUAUAUAUAUGAAGCAAUAAAAAACAGAGUAAUUAAAUUAAACACAAUCAUUUGUUGGGAGAAGAUCCUUAAUAAAUAAUCAAUUUCUAUCCCAAAGGGAGAAGAUCCUUAAGAAAUUGAUUAAUCUAUCCCACAUCAUAUAAUAACAUAUCAUUUCAUCCUAAACACAUACUAGCAUACUUACAAUUCACUUAAUCAUACUUAAUCUAACAAAAUUAUCUAACGUAAAUAAAUUAAUCUAGCAAAUUCAUACUUAAUUCAUGCUUUAUAUAUAAACUAACAAAUUAAUCUAAUUAAUUAAAAUUAAUCAUGCUUCAUAAUUAAUUAAACUAUAAAUUAAUUAAAAUUAAUCUAAUUAACAUUAACUAGAUUCUAACAAAAUAAUAGUAAAAAUAAAUUUAAAAUUAAUCGAACUUCACAUAUUAUAAAUUAAUUAAAAUUAAUCUAAUUAACAUUAAUUUUAAUCUAACAAAAUAAUUAAUAAAUAAAUAAAGUAACGAAAACGAGACCGUACGGUAGUGGUCGGCGGCAGAGCGGUAGCGGUGGCGACAACGGCGUCGUCUAACUGAGACGAUAAAGAGAGAAAAUGAGAUGUGAAAUUAAAUACGAGAGAAAGAGAGAGAAACAGGACCUGCAGGGGUGGCUCGCCGGAGCAGGUGGUCUGAUGGCGGCGGUGGCUCGAUGGCGACGGCGGCUCGGGGUGGGACGCAGCGGAUAUCGGCUUGGGGGGGGGUGCGUCGGGUAGUAGGGAAGAGGGGGGGGUGGUGUGCGCUGUGCGUGAAAGAAAAGGGGAUCUGACCCCGAUUUUAAUUACCAAUCAGCGGCGGCUCAGCGGCGCCACAGCGCCGCCACUAAUUAGCGGCGGCUUUUUACCGCCGCUAAAUUUAAAUGUCAAUUAAAAUUAAACUUAAACUAAUUUAUUUUACAAAUAGCGGCAGCGCGCUGUCGCUAAUUGCCGGCAGCAUAAACGCCGCCGGUAUUGCCGCCAGUAAAAUUAAGGUGGGUUGCCUUGUAUGCCGUCGUUGUACUGCCGGCAAUUGCCGGCGGCUGCUCCGCCGCCGAUAAUUCUCGUCGGUAUUUCGGUAUUUUUUUGUAGUGUAAUGCUCCUAUUACUCUUGCACAUGUCGAGACUCGGGCAUAGUAUGAAUACUCUUUUCUCCUUAGCUUUCGAAUUUUCAGAUAACGCCAAGUUAAUUAAAUGCUAUAAAAGAAAGUCACAGUCCUGCUGAAAUAUUAUAACAAAGAGAUGGAAAAAACUUCAGGAUCAUUAGACACUCAAACAACAAAUUCAGAUGAAAAAAAUUAUCUAAGUAGAAGAAACAGGGAGAUUUUGUGCAUAAUUAAGCACAUAAAAUCAAGGGUUAAUAGCCGGAAAAUACACGAACUAUUUUUAAAUUUGCAUAUUGCACAUCACCUUCAAAAAUAGCCUCAGAAUACAUCACUUUUUAAUUUUGUUGCAAAUUGCACAUGCGUUGACCACCACCUUGAUCGGUGUUGACGUGGCACCGGAAUUUUCAGACGUGGACUCACCGGCAUUCAAAACGACGUCGUUUUAAGUGAGUAUAAAUUUAAAAAACAAAAAAACAAAAAAAGGGAAAAUCCCCAAAUCCUCCUUCCGAAGCCCCCAUCCUCCUCCCUGAAACCACCCCUCCCGGCGACUCGCUCUUCACCCGCAUCCGCCUCGCCACCGCCGCCGACGUCCCCCACAUCCACAAGCUCAUCAACCAAAUGGCCGUCUUCGAGCGCCUCACCCAUCUCUGCGAAGCCACCACGGAGUCUCUCUCCGCCACCCUCUUCCCCCCCUCUGCCCCGCCGCCUUUCACCUCCUUCACCGUCUUCAUGCUCGAGCUCUCGUCCGCUCCCAUUUCAACCCUGUUCUCAAACCCGUCCACCUCGACCUCCCGAUCGACGAUCCGGAGAGAGAAGGUUUCAGGAGCAACGCCCUCGGCGGCGAUGUUUUAGGGUUGGAGCGGUGUCUUGAGCCGAAGAAAAAGGGGGGUUUUUGUUGCGAAAACCCUAGAUCCGAAGCGAGUUGUCCUUGCUGCUUCUUCAGGGGUGGCGGCGAGCCACCGUUGCUAUUGCCAUCAAUUGAGGACGGAGCCGUCCUUGGAAGGGGAAUGAGAGGCCGUUCUUUUGAGCAGAAGGGUUUCUGAAAUAAGGAAUAGUUUUGGGGGUUUUGGUGUUUUGAGUUAGAAUGAGAGACGAGGGGCGGCGUCCGACGUCGGAAUUGCAGGGGAGAGGGAGGCUGUGGUGGGCGCCGGUCUGCUGCUGCGUCGGCGUCGGAGUUGCAGAUGCUCAAAGGGGCGGUGGAGAUUUCUUUGAUGUUUUGAUUUCUUUGAUUUUUGUGGUGGAGAUUUUUGUGGUGGUGGUUAAGGUGGAGGUGAGGGAAAACAGUGGCUUGCCGGAUUCUGAAAAUGGUGAUGGCUAGCCGGAUUCUGGAAUGGCUCGCCGGAAAAGUAAGGAUUUUUUUUUUAAUUCUUCAAAAUAGCAAAACGACGUCGUUUUGCUUACGUGGCUUGCCAGCGUGUAAAAAAAGCCACGAGGAAUGCCAUGUAAUGUUAAAUAUUGUCCACGUCAUCGCCGGUCAAACUUAAGAAUGCUAAUAUUCUUAAUUUACAUAAUUUGUAUAAUUUAUAUUUGUAGAUAUGGUCCACACAUUUUACAUAUUAAGUGGACCUUCGUAUACCUAACAAUUAUCACAUUGUAGUAAUAAGUGCAUUAGAUUAGUAAUUUUGUAAGUAAUAGUUCAGGACAUAAAACCAUGACAGUGAAGAAUUCUUUUUAAAGAAAUGCCAAAUAGUAAUAAACAUGGUUAUCCUAAAAAUGUUAAUUACAAGCAAAUGUAUGGGAAAUUAGUAUAACGAGAAUACUAAACAUGAUAUGGUAUAUAUAAAAGACAUGUGUGAAAUGAUUAUAAUAUUCAUCUUCUAUUUAGUUGAUUAGCUAGUAGCUUAAAACAGUAUUAAUGAAUGAAUCGCGAGAGACAAGUCGAUGUCAUCUGCUGCUGCCUCUACGAGCCGAAAGCAUUUUGGUGAAGGUAUCCUGUAUAAUGCUGUAGACUCUACAGCAGUUUUUGUAGCCAACUUAUACCUACUUCAACCGGUGCUCGUCCUCGGUAUCUCAGUAGAUAAGCAAUUUUCCUAGCUGCAACGAAAUCAGAUUCAGUUCAGAUUGACAAGGAAUGGGAACAGUUGCAGUAAUAAAGGGUCUCCAUACCUGUGUGCCAACCGGACCCUCCAACGUUAGCCCUGAUGAAACUUGGUGUAAUAGCACAUCAUAUCCCAAGAGUCAUCAUCUCCCUAAAUUUUGGAACCUGCAGCAAAAAACUGAAGUUAGGCUUGCCAUUAUAUGUGUUUCUACAAUUCCGAUGUCAGAGAUCACAUAUGCAAUCUGAUCAGAGCCAUUCAAGUCAGAUCCAUAUAGAAGAUAUUGCAAUCUGAUCAGUAAGCCAUCCUCCACCCUAACAGCUCUAGCAGCAAACCGGUAUUUUUUCUGGCAUUGUGCAUGUGCAUGCAAGUGAUACAAUUUUACAUCUUCAGAAUAGGUGAGUUAAAGAGAUAACAGAUUGAAAUUGCAUAGUGCCUGGCAUAUUUCGUGCUAGAACUUAUGCAACAUCAAUGACGUGUCUAUAAACUCAAUUACAACAAACCUAAAUGGAAGUAGAGGUCUGUCAUUUAUAGCAGCCCACAGAUUCCAGCCUGCAAAAUCUGCUUGCUGAAACGCCACCUAAUCAAAAUAUGGCAGCAGAAAGCCCAAUCACACCAGAAAGAACUUAAAUGUUGCAAACAGGGGAAGUAAAAACUCCUGAGGUGAAAUAAAAGAAUCAAAGAGUACCUGAGCAGUGCCUGGAAGCAAUUUUCCCUGUUUGUCCUUUACAGCAGAUGAGUCGCCAAUGGCAAAUGUACGUGGAUGACCCUUAACGCGAAGAGUUUCAUCUGUUUCGGCUUGUCCCCUUCCAUUGAGGGGAAGACCAAUGGGUUUGUCACUGGUGUUAGUUCAGGAAGUAGAGGUUUAGACCCACAGUCCACAAAACUAAAUCUGCUUCAACAUCGGCUUUCUAUGCCCCUUUCAGUAGGCUGCAACUCCAGUAUAAGUCUUUCAUGAGCAGCUUAACAUUUGCAGUCAGGUGAGUUCCUGAGCUCGCAGCUCUCCUAAUACAACGGACAAAGUAACCCAACAAAAGCUGACAUUCUUGAUAAAGACCUACAAGAAAGGCUUUAUUUUCAAAUACUAAGAGUUGUUUUGGUUCCCUUGUAAACAACUUAUAAGAUUAGGAUGAGCUUAUAAGCACAUUCAUUAUGUCAAGCCAUUUUCAGAAAACAAUCUUCUAUGAAAUAACAUAAGCAUAAAAUAAGUAACACUACAUUAGAGCUACUGAAGACUUGUCUGCCAUUUCAAUUUUCUUACUAGUUUUGGUACUCUUACUAUAGAGACAUCAUCUGAAUAGGUGUCAAUUUCAUUUUUUAUUCACAGGACAAGUCAAAUAAGAUCAGAGUCCUCAACUGACCUAUUCUCGUCAAAUACAUUACUUUAGGAACAUGAUCGAGAAGAAACAUAAUUUUACAUACGGAUAGGACGGAGAGAAGCACUUUCUUGUAAUUUUUCUUUCAGUCUAUCACAUUAUUUUAUUCAAUUUAGUCAUAAAGAACAAUCUUGCUAUUUGGUUUUCCUUUACAGAACACCCUGCCCCAUCCCCCACAACCCAAAAGCAAGCUUGAAGAAUUACAAGUAGAAUAGACCUUCUAGACUCAAAUGGUUAUUAUGAAAAUUUGAAAGCUGGAAUCAAGACCCAAGAUAAUUCUUUUUUUUUUUGUUGGAGAUAAUAAGACCUAAGAUAAUUCUAAUUGGGAAAAAAUACCAGUUGUCAAGAGCAAAUUACCAAAAUGAUUCAAUUCAAUAGCACUAGUUCUAGAUGAGCACACAACCACCUUGCAAGUGUGCCAUUCAUAUCAUUUCAGUUAUCUACAUACUAUAAUCAGCAAAUAAAUAAGGCUCUAUUGAAUCAUUGUAUUAAUUUUGCAAAACCAAACUGAAAUUUUAAUAUACAGAAAAUUCGAACUCCAAAAUUCAAUAACAAAUACCUAACAAGAUUAAGUUUGAUUCAGUUAUUAGCCAAAUCCUUUUAGUUUUUCUUGUUCAGUUAUAUGGUUAGCCAAGAUUUGAAGAUAAAAAGGAAUAUAAAGAAAGUUUUAUAGCAUAAAAAAUACUAGCAUUUCCUAUUUCUCCUCUUUAUUAUAUUUUCCAAAGGAUAAAUUAUAGUUCACAGACUAGCUAAAAUAUGUGUACAGAAAUUAAAAAUUUUCAUAUGGGAAGAUUAAUUUAUUACAUAAUUGUCUGUCAUAUCUUAUUUGUAUUUUCUCUGCUUUCAGCUGGAGCAUUUCGAAAGAUUGUUAUUUCAAAAUGGUUGCUUUGAAAAGAUGACAAGACACCAGGGAGAAAACUAAAGCAAGAGGUCGAGGUGCUACAACAUAGGAUCAUGCAGCUAUAUAUUUAAAUGUAUGAAAUAUCUAGGAUGAUGAAAGUGAUAGCAGAAGAUAUUGAUAAACUCAACAAACACCGUAGCAGAUGGUUAUUAUCCUAUUACAUAACUGUGCUUACUUUUAAUGCAGAUUCCCUGUUACUGGGUGGAGCAUUGGGCAAGAUUGUUUUUUCAACAUUGAUAGCUUGUACAACUCCCCUGUCUCGCAGUCUUUCAGAUAUUGUGGCAGCCAAUUCAACUCCAGAGUAACCACAUCCCACAAUGGCAACAUGGAUUGGAUAAUCUUUACCAAAAUACUUCCGUUCCAGUGCUGUUAGCUUCUCAUUAACCCUCUGCAACAAACAGAGGUGGUGUUAUAAAGCCUGUACACAUAAUUUUACUAGGUCUAUUCAAGAUGAAAUAUGUAGGAGGCAGUCGAAUCCUAACACGAGCAUCCUCAAGGGUGGAAAAUGGUAACGCAUAUUCCAUUGCACCUGCACAACAUCAAGUUUGGCAUCAGAUCCAAGCGCCAGUACCAACCUGGCUGGCAUAUUAGUAUGAAUGAUAUCAGAAGAAGUCACUAAUUGAAAAAGAAGAUUUUAUUUCAAAACACCCAAUAAUGAACUUCAGGAAUACAUGCCAUAUUCUACAUACUUCAUAUUAACAAAGAAAUAUGGUAAAGCAUUCUGUCCCUUUGUACAGUUAUGGAAUAAUAAGAGGAAAAUGGGAAAAAUAUGCUUCUCUAUACACACACAAAUAAACAGUAAAAUUGGGCAUACUUCUUGAUAUGUCAGACCAUAUACAAAAGAAAUCUCUUUACAACCUAGGCAGGGAUAUAGCAAUAAGUAACUCUGAAUAAAUUUGUCAACAGAAAUGAAUUUGGACCAGUCUAGAACAGUUCAUGUUAGGCAUAUAAGUUAGGGAGCCCUAACUUAACCCAAAAUCAUGGUCAAAGGUAAAGGGUUGACUCCCUCCUGUAUACUAUCCCACACUUUCAUGUGGAACCGAUGUGGGAUAUCGUAAUAAUUCAAAGAAUCUGAUAGGACAAAAAUGACCAAAGAAAGAAAAAGCAUCAACAAGGUAUUUUGAUUUUUGAGUGCUUCACACAUCAUCAAUUUCUUUGGCAUCUGAUGCAAAUUUUGAUGGGUUCAGUCUAGAAUAUUUCUCAUUGUCAAAUUCGUUGGACUUUAUAAUUGUUACCUAAGACUAAGGAGUGAGCUCUUCAAACUGGCAAGUAACUUUCAUAAGACGCAACAACAAGAUUUCUCUGAAUUACAUGGAAGUUUACCAGUCAUAUUCAAUAAGAAGGCCACUUUCAAGAUGAACAGUCCCAGCAGAUUGAGACAAUGCAGCCGCAUCCAUUCCCAACUGAUCAGAAGGAUGUAAAGCCUGCACCUUAUCUUUGAAAAACUGCACUGUGGUGUUUGAUAGCAAGUCCGAGAAGCGAGGGGCUAUUUCCCAUUCAUCUACUUCUGCAAUUGGAAAAAUUAGUGUAACAAUGUCAUCACAAAGAACUAUGAUUGUCUAGCUUAAGUAACCUGAAUUCCCGUGGUGCAUCAAAUCAAAAUAUACCUCCAGAGAGAAGUUCAUAAAGUAAGGGCUUGAACACAAAGCGUUCAGAUUGAUCAACAAGGACUACCUGUUGCAUUAUCAGAAGGCAUUUGUUUUAUAGGCAACAUCUAUCAAAUCGUAAAUAUACAAGACCAAGAUCUUGGUCCACGACCAAGUUGGUAGAGAUUGGCAUCUAAAUUUCCUUUUCGAAACCAGAUAGUACAAUUUUUUUAUAUAAAAGAUAAUUGGCGUAUUUUGAAGAAGGCAUGUUCUUUUUUAUUUCAUUCAGUAAGAAAGACAAAAACAUAAUAGCUUUUCACUCGUGCGAACAGAAACCAUUCCUGUUUUGCCUUCUGCUACGUGACUUUUGUUCUGCAUUCAUCACCUCAUUAUUUGCAUGUAAUCAGAGAUUCAGAAUAUUUUUCUCCGACUUGUUAAAAACUACCUGCUAACCACUGUAAACCUUUUGAUGACACAAGUUUAACAAGUCAUCAGAAGUAGUUAUCAAUCCUAGACGGGCUUCGAUAUGAGAAUAAGGUACCAGCUUUUCCCUAUGUGAAGGUCUGUUUCCCUCCUUUUUUUUCCCUUUCUCCCCCUUUGUGUUCAUGUGGGCUAUAGAGGGGGUUCCAAUAUAAGGCUCAAAGCUUUGGGCUGCAGUAUGUCCUCAUAAAAAGCAUGAGCACAUUUUGGUUCUUCCAAUACCAUCCUCUCAUCAAUAUGCACUCUUUCUUGGAAGAGCACCAGCACAUAUUCUUAUACUAUGAAGAUGUUUAACUCUCACUUCCCAUUGAUACUUAGAAACCAUCAAAAGCUCGAGCUUAUUGAAGGAGGCUCUAUUAUACAUCAACAAGUGAUAUGCAAUACCCUAGUACGAAUAAAUCAAUAACAAAGAAAGGUGACUUAUUUUUUCAAAGCACCAGCCAAAAUCAGCAUAGAGCAUACUAAUAUUCUUUCAGAAGGCCAAGUUACCUGUGGUCUCUUCCCAUCGGGCCACUCAAGCGAUUCCAAUCUCAAUGCAGUGUACAGCCCUCCGAAACCACCACCCAGUAUGCACACCCUUGGUCUCUGUAAUCAUUGAUCACGUUAGCGUCACAAUCAGAUAUUCUGCCUAAAAGCAUAAGUCGUUGUACUUAUGGAGAAAAUAUAACCAUGGAAAGAAUACCAUUGAGAAGCAUUUUAAAAGGAAUCACAAAUCAAGAAAGAAUGACCCCACCUCGAUUUCAGAAUAUAUCAAUUAUAGUAGACUCGAAAGAGUACCCGGCAUGCAUAUAUUACAUGCAUAUAUAAUUAUAGUAGAACACAUUACUUCCCUCAUCAAAAUUCAAUAUAAAUGACUUCGACACAUAUAAAAUGAUGAUGACUUUUCAGGACUUACCAUGAUGCCCACGCUAUCUUCAGAGAUAUGGAAGCCUAAAACUAUUAGGUGCGUACUCUUUGGUUGUAAAUUUAUUAUGGGAAAAUGAGGGAUAAACAAAAUUUCAUCCUUUAAAUCAUUCCAAUCUUUUCCCUCAUUUCCUACUUGACCCUUACUCAUUCCUCAUUUUCACUACAAAGGAGGGAUAAUAUUAUCCCUCCAAAAAUUUCAUUUGAUCCAUUCCAUAGAAUCGUCAAAUACGUGUAAACAUUUUUUAGGUGAAUGUGCAUUUGAAACUUGUUAUCUAAGAAUAAGAAUUUGAAAUCAUUUGCUAUUUCUAAACUAACUCAAAAAUUAAGGAUAUCAAAAGGAAUAAAAAUGACUACUUAAUUAAAUUUCAAGUUCCAAAAGGCAGAAGGUUCGAAAAUACCUUCUUGUUUUCCGGCCAUGCGUAACUGGAUGGCGGAGAUUGAUCUUCAGAGACGCCGCCGUAUCUUCCGCUUGAGAUCGAGCCAAAAACGCGGAGUCCUUGCCUUGGGACGGAGCUGGAAAAGAGUCCGGAAUUAGUUGGAUAUACACGCGAAUGCCGCUGGAAAAGGUUUCGGCAGUGAAGCUGGUCGCCUGAAAUUCAUUGCCAUUUUACAGAAACCAAUGAAGAAAUAUGAGCUCAAAUUGACAAAGUGGCGAGUGCAGCUACUACAGGCAGAGAGAGAGAGAGAGAGAGAGAUUACGAGUGAAAAGCAUAGAUGAUGCAAGAGAAGAAAUUGCGUGCGCCAUUGUAUGAUGGCGGCGGGCGGGAGUAGCGGUUGAGGGUGGGUGAUGCGCGGAGAUGUGGCUAUUUUGGUUCCACAAUUUACUUUAGCAAAAAAGAGCGCAAGAUCGGAUUUUUAUCACGUUAAGUUUUCUUUAUUUAUCCGGUACCUAUUGUUUACGAUCCAAUUCGCUAGGUUUCGAGCUAAUUUUAUUUAUGAAAUUUCCGGGUCGUCAUCUUAAUAGUAUUACAUUUUUGGAUUUUAAGCUAAUUUCUUUGAAAUCUAUUUUGAAAGGUGAUAGAAGUAAUGUCUCUCGAAUUCGAUUUUAAUGAGUGAAAAGUAGUGAUCUAUUUUGUAACGUCUGAAUCAAUGAUGAACUUUGAUGUGCAUUCAUUCCAACAGGCUACCCAUGAUAUGGUUGUGUUGUAUAUAUAGGACAGUCGAGCUCUUGCAGAAUCACAUCGAAACACGCUUACAAAUCGUGAAAAUUGCAUACACAUUUAAGGGGAGUAAUUGAUAAGAUAAAUGAUUUGAAUAUUUUAAUUAAUGUGAACUAAUCCUCAAAAGCAAAUGCCUCUUAAACAAAUGAAUUCGGAGGUUUCUCUUUUUGAUGCAUAUCUUGGAGGACGUUUUCACCUUGAGUAAAUGACUGUAAGGUAGGUGGAAAAUGGUAAGUCACAGAAACAUCUCGAGACAAGGAAAAUGAAAGCAAACACAUGAACGUGUAGAUUUGGUAUUUGCUUCUCCAGAUCAUUUGAUAAUAAGUCGUUCCAGCUGUGCAAUGUAAUGAACAAUAUAUGAAUCUAGACUAGAUUGAUUGUCUGUAAGUUAUCUUUCCUACUGUUUCAAUAAUUAAAGCUCAAUUCACGUUAUUCUACUUGUGUUUACUUGAACGAACUCAAUUAUCACAUUAUACACUUGUACACACAGUGAUGCCGAAGAGAUUCCUUUUUCUUUUCUUUUUACAGCUAAGUCUAAGAGUCAUCUUCCUAUACCAAUUUUUUUCUUCACCUAAUUAAAAUGGGAUGGAGAAAGUAGGAUCAAGAGAAACGUAGCCACUUGCAAAGAGAUUAGUAUAUUAGAGAGAGGAGAAAAAAAAUAGUACUCUAAUGAUGUUAGAAUUGUAUAGGGAGUAAGCUGAAAAAUUAGCAUCUGCAUAGGCCAGAAACAUCUAAACCAUUUAACACUUGAAGAUGUGCACAAAUUCUUUUACCUCAAACUUCAGCUGAGUGUUAGAAUGUUUACAAAUCAAAAACAAAGAUUGUCAAAAUUGCCCUACAUUCAGUUUCUUACAGUGAAUAGAGCUAACUAUUACAUUUAUCAGUCUGCAAAGCACCAUUGCUGUAUCUCGUAUACAUCUCUUCCUAAUACUAUUACACUUAACAUUAUGGUGUUCUUUCAGAACAAGAAUCACAAUGACUCGGGACUCGUUGAAGGUCUGAUCUUGGAGGGCAUCUGCGUGAAUCUCUGCAUUCUGCCCCCGAAUUUGUGACUCAAGUCCCUAGGUGUAAUGGACAUUUUAUCCAGAGAACAGUCAAACUCAUCAGCAUCAGACUCUCCCUCAUCGUGACUCCUGUCACUUGGAAUACUCAUCCCGUUUCCACACUCAUAGGCGUCUGCAACAUCUUCAUCACUCGUGCCUUCUUCGUCAUCGUCUUCAUCAUAAGUGCUUCUCACCAUUGACCAGUACACAUAAUUUGGCCGGAUGUAGCUGCAAAAAACAAAACAAAUAAAAGAAUGCAAACAUAAACUCGUAGGCCAACAGUAAUUUCUCAAAGAUAUAUAAGUAAAUAAGUAAUAGACUAUGUAGGGGAAACAAGAAGCAAGGCAGAGACACACCUGUCACAUUUCCUUAACAGGCAAGGAUCAAAUGGGAAAAACAUGUCUAAUCUUUCUAACCCACCAAAUACCAUAGAAUGCUGCGAUUCCAGGAGUCCAUGAUCGACAAGUGUUUCGGGCAGAGAAAAUAUGCGACUUGCUUUGACCAGCCGUAGAAAUUCUUCUACUAUUGAUGGCAGGCAUAUCUAAGCAGGAAAUGUAAGAAAGAAAAACCAGUCAGUUUGCUAAGACGACUAACAGAUACAACAGUGAGUCGGUCACAAAACAAAUGAAAUAGAAAAAGUAUAAUGACAAAAUAAGUUUUCUACACAUAAAUAACCAGCCUAUAUCCGUUGGUAUAAAUGAUAUGGAUUAGCAUAGCAUUGUCAGAAUAUUCUAGCAAAUGACUGAAAAGGUUCAAAGAAAUAUUUCACCUGCAGUGGUCUUAAAGGAUGCCCAAGGAUAUCGUCGAUGCGCAUGAGCAGUAGUUGGGACUUCAGCCGAGGAAUAGCAAGCAUUUGUUUCAUACGAAAACAAAGCACAUACAUUAUAGCCUGCAGAAUAGUAGGUGAUCAAUAAGAGAGGACAUACUGGCACAUUUUGAAAACUCAAAAUAGAAUCUACAACUGCAAAUUCUUGGUAUUGGUGAUGGAGAACAAUUAUUGAUGAUCCUUUUAGUCACUCAUAAACCCUGCUUAUUUAUCAUUUUCCUCAUCAAACUUCACAAUUUAUAAGUGAAAUCAUAAUCAGUGUAACACCACAAAUUCUUGCCUGUUAUAUUUAAUGAAGCCCUUAUGACGAAUUUUCUUUUGUUUUUCCAAAAAGAACCUACUUUUUUUUCAUGUUACAGGUCACGUCCAUGCCAGAGAAGAUACAAAGGGCUGUUUUCUUUUCAUGUUAUAUUUUUUUCCAUAGUGGGUCACAUUGCUGGACGAGCUAAGAGUCUUGUUAUUUCUUUCCCUUUUACUAGAUUAACCUUUGGCAGAAGGGUGGAAAACUUAUACAUAUAUAUAUAUGAUUUUUUUUUCUAAUUUAGUAUAGUAGUUAGUAUGAUAUUAAGAUAUAACAGAAAGUUAAACUUUGCUUUAAUAGCAUUAUGUUUAGGUGAUGCGCAAUUGGGAUUCAUCAAGAUAACUUGAGGCAAGGUUAAGGUGGGGAAUUUUAUGCUUUUUGUUUUAUAUGCUUGUGGUUUUAUACACUCAGGCCAAAACCCAGAGACAUUUGAGAGCAAAUCUAUGUAUAACGCACCUGACAACCAGCAUAAAAUAGUUUAUGAGCUUUUGGAUUAAUGUCACCAUCCUGGUUUUUGCAAUAAAGGAAACAGCAGCACACCACUCUGAAAUCAUGCAAAAUGAAACUUGAAUUAAGUUAGAACAUUGUUAUUAGUUUUUAGCUCUCAAGGAGAGCAUUGGAUUUCAAAAUGAGAUGCAUAACAACCUUUCCAGCAUCGCAGCAACAAAUGAGAGGGAAUAAAUUUGGCACGGCCAGAUAACUUGCAAGGUACGCUACAGCGCUCAUUCUGCAAUACAGUAAAUAAAAUUAAUAUGCUAUAGAUCUUUGACAAAGUAAAUUCAGCCAAGAUGCUGAACCAAAAACAGAUGCACUUAAUACCAUAAUUUUCAUAUCAUAAAACAUAGCAUGCUGAAGGGAGUAGUUAAGCAAAUUAACUCAGGCAGAAUCCAUGGUUAGGGUUUUAGGCUUGAAUUGCAAUAAUUACUUGGGUAAUUUUACUUCCAAAGAACCCUAUUUUCCAUUCUUCUAGGCGCUAGCGCCAAAUAUACAUUUUCUCAAUUCUUUUGCUGCAAGAAAAUUCACCAUCAAGAAAAACAUAACAGUUCACAUGACAGGAGGGCUGAUAGUGUGAAGGUAAAUCAAACAACUCAAUGAGCCGAAACUACUGACACUGAAUAAACACAUCAAAGGAUUGAGGUGCAUAGCCAAUGCCUACCAAAGUGAUGCUAUUCUGUUCCUAUGUUGAUCCAAAGAUAAGAAAACCCUCAUCUAAAUAGAUACAUACCUAUCUCCUAAUACUUUGGCCCAUGGACCGAGCCUUAUUAAUUAAGCAAACUAAAAUAAUACUCCCUCCGUCCCAAUAAUAGUAUAACUUAUAAUUAAUAACUACAAACGCAUAAAAUAAAAUAAUCUUCUUGGCGCCUUCUUGCGUUGCUAACAAGCCCUCGCCUGUCAAAGCAGCCUCGACCUCAAGGCUGAACUGACUGAUAGGGCUCUGGACUGCACUCGGUUUCAUUGGAUUGAGCUCUUUAGCAUAGCCUUCCUCUGAGAGAAGAAGCAUAUAUAGGUGUUUCGCCACACACUAUGAUUUCCACAUUGUCCGGACGAUCCAGAAGAAGUAGGCGGGGGGUGCACUGCAGCACUGUAGGGUGUGGAGUGGAGGACCCCAAGGUAGAAGACUAUCCGAGCUCUGACAACUUGGCCAUGAUGGCUGAGAAUAGCAGUUGUUCUCCCUCCAUCGUCGGUUGCACGGCUGCCAUAGCAGUCAGCAAUUCCUACAACUCUGACACAGUGCUCGCAUAUCCAUGGGUACUUUCUCUAAUUGAUCAAAAUCGUUGCUCUCAUGUAAACUGAAACUGAAUAAACACCUUAAAGAAUUGUGGUACACAGGCGAUGCCGGCCUACGAUGGUCAAAAGAUAAGAAACCCUAAUCUAAAUAAUAAUUGCUUAUACGCGGCCAGAGCAUUAUUAGUUAAGCAAACUAAUAUAACAUCACUUGUACUUAACAAUUAACAACUUAUAAAAUAAAAUAGCAGCUUAUAAAAUAAAAUACUUUUCUAGAGAAGGUUUUGUUUCGUAUUAUUUCAGGCACCUUCUUGUGCUGCUAACAAAAGUGCAAGACAUAUAGUUCAUAGCAGUUUAAAUUACAUGAUUUUGCUAGGUCUUCAAAGGACAAAUAUAUGAUUUGCUAUGAACUGGGUAACAGUUCAUUCAGCAUAUAGAAUCUAAAGAUCGAUUUCAACAUGCCAUGCAAUCUAUCAUAAAAGUAACUUGAAUUUACCCAAGAGAAACGUAAUAAGAACAGAAUAAUAUUUACGUACAUGUAAUCUUACUGGCUGAUAAUAAGAUGAAAAGAAAUUAGAUCAUCCCCACAUAAGAAUGCAAGUCAAUAGUGCGUGAAGAGCUAGAGAUUCUUUACCUCCAUUCAGGAUUGACGCCACUCACAUAGAUAUCUAUAAGAGCAUUGGCAAACAUCUUUCCACAAUUUUCAGGAUCCAGCGAGCCAGCAUAGAACAUGACAAACUACAGAAAACAUGGAGGCAUUACAUGCCAAUUAGUAUGGGCGAGAGCCAUUACAAGGAAUAUGCCUCAGCAAUGAAGAAGCAAAUAGUCGAAAACACAGGUUUGUAUUUCUGCAAAAUCCAGAUGUCACAAUACCUGAGCAAAUUUUGAUUUGUAAGCAGUCAAAGUUGUUUUCUGAAAUGAUUGGAGGAGGGUCUCAAACACCUAAAGCAUCGGUAGAAUGUAAACAUAUCAAGAGGCGCACAACAUUUCAAACCAAACCAAAAAGGCAGAACGAAGACUUUACCUGAACCAGACGACCACUCUCAUAACAAGAUUUAAGGUAUUCAAAUGUAAGCACCAUCAGACUGUCUAACUUUUGAGCACUCAAGUUUGUACUAAGAAACCUUUCGAUUAAAACAUCCCUAGUAAGCUGAAAAAUGAGUAAAAAUGAGUUUUAUUACCAAACAAAAGAUGCUAAGAAAACACCAACAAAUAUAAAAGUGUGUAAGUUUAUUGUGUACUGCAUACACUUUGGUGCGUAUGCAUUAGGUUUUCUAUUUCCUUGGUUAUAUGUAGAUAUUCUAGGUAUAUUUCUUUCUUGUUACAAUGGGCAACCUAUGUCUAUUUAUAUGGGUUUUUUAACCCUUAAUAAAUAUUCAAAAAUUGUUUCUACCGGAAACUUCAUGAUCCCAGUGUUCUAAGGAUUUUGAAACCCUAGGGCGCACAGCCUGAAUUUUUUUACCUUGUCGUGUGCAAAUAAUCAUUUAUUGCCUGGACCAUAGUUACCAUUUCUGCAUUCAGUCCCAACCCUACUAUCUCUUCUUUUUCCUCCUUCGGCAGAUAUUACACGUACGUCCCUACAUAUCAUCGUUGGCUGUUGAUGGUAGGGACAAGAUGAGUUUUCUCACCAUGGAAGAAUUUCAUCCCCGUGCUACUAUAAAUUUUGCAAGUGGCGGAACGAGACUCUCAUCACUGCGUAGCUUUUUAAAGGCCAUGGAAGAUGGUAUUGCAAGCCUUUCAUGUUCAUGGAAGCUCAUGAACAUUGGGAGAGUGUACAGGAAGCCUACUCCAACAACGGACAAUCGACCCAAAUUUUUGAACUGAAGAAAUGAUUGCGCCCAUGCAAGAGAAAUAGUCAGCCCUUCACCCUUUAUGUCAACAAGAUGUUGGCAUUAUGGCAAUAAUAAGAUCUUUGGUAUAUAGGUAAUUCAAACCUACAACCACCCUCUUAUCAAUGCAACAGUUUGCAUUUUUUUUCAAGAACAAGAUCAAAAGACACCAAGGCUGGAAAUUCCCAAGUAAAUGUUGAUUAAGGCAUUUUUGAGAUGAUUUGGGGGAGGUUGGUGCUCCAGUGAUAUUGAGCUGCAAUUGAUGCACAAUUCUCAAUGCUAUGGUACAUCAUCUUUAACUGAUAAGCAAAGCAAGCCAAAUUUAUGAAAAAAUCAAUAUCUCAAUCUAAUAGAUCUUUGACGGGAAUUAGACCAUAAUAACUUAUUCUUUUUAAAUCUAAUUGGAUGAAUAGCCAUAGACAACCGCACAAAACUAUAUGAAACUAGCAUAAUGCUAACGAACUAAAUUGUCGCACAUGAUUGAACUUCUAUUCAAAUAUUAUCUUUUAUAAACCGUGUGACCUAAUAAUGCAAGUUGAUAAUGCAGUUCUGCUUCAGAAUUUUAAAAUUAUAACAUUGAGCCUAUGAAUAAAGAAAAGAGCAAAUAUUCCUAAGAUAUAGAAUAAAAAUAGAAAUCACCUCAUCACCACCAUCUUGCUCGAUAGGAUCUGCAGGGCUCUCAAGGUCUUCUAGUUCUAUAUCGAACAUACCCUUAUGGAAAUCAUCCUGCAAAAUAUCCUCCCAAGAAAUUUCCACCUACAAGCGAAAUACAAAAACCCAGUAAGUAAGGACCCAUUAAGGUCUGAUCAGUUGCCAAUUUUAAAGUAACUUACAUCCAACUCUAUUAGUUUGUCCAUUAAUGCGACCAAACCAGUGCUACCAACAAGUUCACCAAUCGUACCACUCUCCAAUCUCAAUAUAUUCUCCGCAUACAUCACAAUGAACUGCAUAAAGAAUUAGGAGUAAAAUUAAAACAAAUUUCUGUGCACCUUUUUUUUAUUUAGGCCCCAUGAUUUGAAACAACAAUUUCAUCAUGCUACAAAAAAGGUUAAUAGUAUCUUAGUAUGAAAACACAAGAUAGAAGACACUAAACAUCCUGGCUAAAUGUACAAAACAUGGCCACCUCUAAAAAAAUAUACAAAACAUGGCAGCUAAACAUCUCAUGAUAUGGAAUUCAUAAUGGGUAUUAACAUAAUACAUGUACACAAACAUCAAGAACUCUCAUAGGGUCCUUUAAACAAAGUGAAUAUAGGUUCAUAAGGAGCCAGGUGUGGGACAUAACAGAUACUUCACAUGCCUCAUUAGGAGAAGGCACAUAAUGGCAGACGUUGAUUACAUAUCAUUGACAAACCAAUAGGUGUGUAGCCAACCCGCAUGUAGCGUGAAUGGGCUUUCAUGAUGACCACUGACCAGUUACACAAAUGAUACCCAGAUUAAUGAAACAACCAUGCUGUUGAGACAUGGUGUGGUAGCAAACUAAAGCAGUGAAAGUGAAAGUGAAAACACAUUUCUAGACUUCUGGACUUCUGAAUUUGUACUUCAAAUUCUGCCUGAUCGUUUCAAUCCUUUGAUAAAAUUAUAUUAAAGAAUGAUGUUUGCACACAGAAAAUGCCAAUUUGCUUGAAUGUACAACAAACCAAGAUUUGAUCUUACAGGUUCUUUAGCGUAUAUGGGGGGCAUUCUAUCCCUCACUAUCUUCUCUAGUCUGAGCGGCGUAAGAGGAACUAGAUUUGAAAUAUCUUUCAAGGUUGAAUGGACACGAUCAAGAACUUGAAUCUUUUUAGCAAGACCCCGAGGUUGCUUCAGUAAUUCAACAAAGUAAGAAGCAGCAGGUGGAGGCAUGAAAUUCAUUACAAGCAUCUCCAGGCAUAAAUCAACAUAAUCACCAUUUGAUGAAGCCUGCAUAACCAAGGUUGAAAAUUGGAACAUAACAAUACAAAAUCAAUAAUGAGCAUCGUUAAAAAUAAUAGCAGCGACAUGAAAAUACAACAUGUAACCAUCAUACCAAGGCAAUAAGCAAUUCAAUCAAUGCAUCCAUCACAUCUGUUCCAUAAUCCCACAAGCUCAUCCCUAGUAUCUGCAUCACCAGAAACAUAUAUAUAACUCAAAAACAUAUAUCACAAUAAUGACCAAACAAAUUCAGCAUCUGAGUGAAAUGUUCAGUAACUAACAGCAGCAAGUAGAGACCGAUGAUGAACAAUGUGUACACAUGAGACUGCUCCAGUCACAGCUUUUAAACAUGUCUGUCACAUCAUUACAAAAAGAUCAAGAUAAAGCAUAUUAAUAGGUAAACUAUAAAAUAACAUAUAUUUUACAUGCAAGAAAUCCCAACAUACCACAAGAAGGGCCACCUCUUCAGUAACAAGACGUUCUUUAUGGUGUAUCACUACCACAAGCUGGUUAUAAAAGUUGCAGUCGCCCUUGAAAUAAAAAUAAAAAAAUUAAGCAGCAACUACAGCAAUUCACCCAUAUGACACAUGAUGAUUGAUUAAGAGACCGAGCCACAGUACCUGAAUAGCAGCUUUGAGGGCAUUCCUAACAUGAUGAUCUAGCUCAGAAUCAGUGAAACUUAGUUCAUCCAUGUGAGGCGCUCCCAUCUAAAAGAUUUCCACCACUUCAGUUAGGGGUCCAAAAUGUAAUUCGUUAAAAGCUUCACCCCUGAAAAAUAAGCAAGAAAAGCACGUUACUUGUGAGGGAGGCUUAUUAGGCUAUCCUCAGUUGGUAAAAGAACAAAGCAAACAAGGGCUGAUUUUUAAAUUUGUUGCACUGCACCCAUCUUUACAUAUAACAUUUUAGAAAAUCCAUCUAUUUCAACUAAUAGAAUAUCAACAAGAAAAAUACCAACUUAAUUCGCUUUAUAGAACUAGAACAUAAUAUCUCUUAAUGUCCACACUAGCACAAUCUCACCUGACACUUAUCACAAGUAGAUCGAGCAUGAUGAAGUAGUGAAAAAAGAUCGUACUCGGUGAUUUGGUGCUCAUGCUGCAGAACUACUGAAGCAGGGCAUAGUUUUUCCUUUAGUUUCUAUUUGAAUUAUGGAAUUUUUUAAGUGGCUUAAUUUUUUCUUGUCUCUGAGUUGCCCAGUUUUUCUUUAGCUGUUGAAAUUUGGACUGAUUUCUGCUGAAAUUGUUGGUCUUAACAGUAAUGGGUGCAGUGCAACAAAAUUUAAAAAUCAGCCCUUGUUUGCUUUGUUCUUUUACCAAAUUUCAGCAGAAAUUUGGUAAAAUUUCUGCUUUGUUAAAAGCAGAAAUCAGUCCAAAUUUGGUAAAAAAAAUCUGGCCAUACUUCUGCUUUGUUUAAGACCAACAAUUUCAGCAAAAAUCAGUCUUCCUAAGGUUUCAUCUUGAACACUUACAUUCUACAUAUGAUUUAAACACCUCUCAAAUCUUAUUUCAGCAAACCACACGAGUUUAUACACGUUGUUAAGCAGUAGAUUCAUGACAUAUCAUAUGAGCAUAACCAUCUCAUCAUUUCUGUAUAUAUAUGCAUAUUUUUGAAUGGGAGCUAUACUAUACUCUGUUAUGCAAGUUUCAAUGUUUUAAAGAAAGAAUUUUUAUGAGUUUGCUUUCAACUUGGGGCUGCUGUGUCGAAUCGGGUAAGAGAGAGAGUUACCUUGCUGAUUAAAUAGAGACGGGAAAUGGAGAGGGAGGCGGGACACGGCGGUGGUGUCGCUACUGUUCGGCCAAGCGAGAGGUUUGAGAGAGAGCCGGGGGAGAACCGGCGGUAGUCUGUUUCAUCGGCUGCUGUCGACCGAAGAUUUGAGGGAGAGGGUGGCGGCCGUGGCUCCGCCGCGGUUGCUGGAGAUCAGAGGGGUGCCGUGUUGUGAGAGGGAGAUUUGGGUGGUGUCUGGUCUGGUCUGGGCUGGGGCCGCGGAGGGCAGAGCGGAGGACGGCGGCGGCCGUGGGUUGCUGUCGCCGGGAAAUCUAGGGAGGGAGAAGAGGGGAGGCUAGGGUUCAGGCGCUGCGGCAGCUCGUCGCUGUCGUCGUCGCCGGAAGGGAGGAGAAUGGAGGGACUAGGGUUCCGAUCAGUCGAGGGUGAUGGUGAGGAUGACCGGAGCGGCAUUCGUCGCCGGGGGUGGUGGCACGCGGCCGUGAGUCCGAGAGGGAGAGAGGGACGAGCAGUCGAGAAUUGAGAGAGAGAGGUGACUGAUGUGUGUGUGUGUGUUGCGUGACUGUUGGGCCUUUAUUUUUAUUUAUUUCGGCUGGGCUUCCUUUUGGGCCGAUUUUGAAGGGGUUUUGGGCUGUGCAGCUUCUUCAUUUAAAUGGACUGCACUAGUUUAAUUAAUUGGACUUCAUAUUUGAGUUUGAUUAAUUAUUAUUAUUUGCAUAAUAAUAUUAUAUUAUUAUUAUGUGCAUAUUUUAAGUAAUUACUUAUUACUCCCUCCGUCCCAUUAAAGUUGGCAACAUUUCUAUUUUGGGUGUCCCACUAAAGUUGGCCACUUUCUAAAAAUGGCAAAAGUUUACUUUAAUUAAGUCAACAAUUACUCACUAAUUUGGUCAACAAUUGUAGGCCACUUUCUAAAAAUG
rnacentral:lncRNA from 1 species